ACUAGCACAAGCACAGUAACCAAAACCUUAUUUAAUAUGAUACAAAUGCUGUUCAGGCCUCAGUUGCAUGAGGAAACUGUAUAAUGAACUUAUAGCUACAGGAUAAGUGCAUUCCUGGACUAAUUCUAGAAUUGACACAACACAUUUUCCUCAUUCAAAACUUGUUUAUCACUGAAGAGAUUGUUUAUCAAACCUGUUUAUCAACUAAAAAAAAAAGAUAAAAAAACAAACACAGAAAAGGUAAUUGUGAUUUAACAGUGUCUUUUGUGUUAAUUUUAUUUUCCUCCCUCAGGAAAGCUGCAUAGCGAAAACAUAAACUCUUCACCUGCACAGGAAAGAUUUAAACUUUGAAGUGAUUCUUUGGUACAUGAUGCCUGUCAGGUUUCUUUUUGCACUGUGGUUACUGUGCUGUGCAUAACACCACAGUAUUUUCAAUGCUCUAGUGAUCAAAAAGAGAAGUACAAUACAGACACAAUGUAAGUAUUUUUUAUCAUGCAGGAAGAUGAAAAGACAUUCAAGUACCAUGAAAGAAAGCUUGGAAAACAGGCAAGUGCAGAGAACCUGGCAAAAGAUUACCAGUCUUUCAGGUUUGCCCUGCCUAUUUGAUUGAGUUUUCAGGAGGAAAUAUGAAGGAGGAGAAGCCAAAGAGCUAUGGGAAGAAGGGCACUGAAAUGCUUUUACAUCCAGCAGCAGGAUUGCAUUUGGCAACACAAGCAUGCCUGUAAGCCAAGCUUCCUCUGAUUAAACGUUUUUGGCCAAAUAUCAGAAUUGGUAAGUAUAUUGCAUAUUGAACUCCUUUUCAAAAGCAUAAUGAGAAAGAAGGGGGAAUACUGUUCAGUUUAGGAAAACCUCGAUAGCACUGUAUUUUGAAACCUAGUUACUGAAAAACGUGGGAAGUGGUGGCUGACGGUGACAGGGCCGCUUAACCAGACUUCGCAAGAAAAAGUCCGCAAUACCACCAGGUGGCGCGUAAAGCCCAAAAUAACCGUAAACCUGCCCAAACCGCAGGGCUUUCAGUGCCAUCUAGUGCCGCCACCCGCCGUUGGCUUGGGGCGAGGAACAUCCCAUUC